GAUGAACGCUAGCGGGCAGGCCUAACACAUGCAAGUCGAGGGAGAGGUUACCUUCGGGGUAACCAAAACCGGCGCACGGGUGCGUAACGCGUAUACAAUCUGCCUUUCACAUAGGGAUAGCCCGAAGAAAUUUGGAUUAAUACCUAAUGGUAUAUAAGAGCGGCAUCGUUUUUAUAUUAAAGCUACGGUGGUGAAAGAUGAGUAUGCGCUCUAUUAGCUAGUUGGAGAGGUAACGGCUCCCCAAGGCGACGAUAGAUAGGGGUUCUGAGAGGGAUGUCCCCCACACUGGUACUGAGAUACGGACCAGACUCCUACGGGAGGCAGCAGUGAGGAAUAUUGGACAAUGGUCGGAAGACUGAUCCAGCCAUGCCGCGUGCAGGAUGAAGGUCCUAUGGAUUGUAAACUGCUUUUGUAAGGGAAGAAUAAGGAGUACGUGUACUUUGAUGACGGUACCUUACGAAUAAGCAUCGGCUAACUCCGUGCCAGCAGCCGCGGUAAUACGGAGGAUGCGAGCGUUAUCCGGAAUCAUUGGGUUUAAAGGGUCCGUAGGCGGGCUGAUAAGUCAGAGGUGAAAGCGCUUAGCUCAACUAAGCAACUGCCUUUGAAACUGUCAGUCUUGAAUGAUUGUGAAGUAGUUGGAAUGUGUAGUGUAGCGGUGAAAUGCUUAGAUAUUACACAGAACACCGAUAGCGAAGGCAUAUUACUAACAAUUUAUUGACGCUGAUGGGCGAAAGCGUGGGGAGCGAACAGG
rnacentral:rRNA from 1 species